rnacentral:tRNA from 1 species
GGUCUUAUAUUCAAAAAUGAUUUUAAAUUGCAAAUUUAAAGGAGAAGUAACUUCUAAGGCUU